rnacentral:rRNA from 1 species
ACUCAAUAGAUACCCAGGUAGUCCACGCCCUAAACGAUGUCUACUAGUUGUCGGGUUUUAAUUAACUUGGUAAACGCAGCUAAACGCGUGAAAGUAGACCGCCUGGGGAGUACGGUCGCAAGAUUAAAACUCAAAGGAAUUGACGGGGACCCGCACAAGCGGUGGAUGAUGUGGAUUAAUUCGAUGCAACGCGAAAAACCUUACCUACCCUUGACAUGUACGGAAGCUUGGAGAGAUCUGAGUGUGCUCGAAAGAGAGCCGUAACACAGGUGCUGCAUGGCUGUCGUCAGCUCGUGUCGUGAGAUGUUGGGUUAAGUCCCGCAACGAGCGCAACCCUUGUCAUUAGUUGCUACGAAAGGGCACUCUAAUGAGACUGCCGGUGACAAACCGGAGGAAGGUGGGGAUGACGUCAAGUCCUCAUGGCCCUUAUGGGUAGGGCUUCACACGUCAUACAAUGGUACAUACAGAGGGCCGCCAACCCGCGAGGGGAGCUAAUCCCAGAAAGUGUAUCGUAGUCCGGAUUGUAGUCUGCAACUCG